UCUGUCACAGUGUCAGGAUCACACAGGC
rnacentral:piRNA from 1 species